GCUUACGGCCAUACCACCCUGAACACGCCCGAUUCUCGGAAGCUAAGCAGGGUCGGGCCUGGUUAGUACUUGGAUGGGAGACCGCCUGGGAAUACCAGGUGCUGUAAGCU
rnacentral:rRNA from 1 species